rnacentral:lncRNA from 1 species
GAUCAUUGAUUUUUCAUUCUGUUAUUUCAUUUUUUGCAGCUGUUUUGCCAAUCUCAACCCCCGCUCCAGCAAUUGAACAUUUCACUGUGAACUUCACCAUAACCAAUUUCAAAUAUGAUUCACAACUGGGAUCUCCUCAUUCUGCCCGGUUCAAUGCUACUGAGAAAGCCUUGAUCUCGUUGCUCAACCCAAUAUUUGGAAACAGCAGAAUCGGCCCAGAUUAUAUAAGAUGUG